UACGUAGGUGACAAGCGUUGUCCGGAUUUACUGGGCGUAAAGAGCGCGCAGGCGGUCGUUCAAGUCGCGUGUGAAAGCCCCCGGCUCAACUGGGGAGGGUCACGCGAUACUGAUCGACUCGAAGGCAGGAGAGGGUAGUGGAAUUCCCGGUGUAGUGGUGAAAUGCGUGGAUAUCGGGAGGAACACCAGUGGCGAAGGCGACUACCUGGCCUGUUCUUGACGCUGAGGCGCGAAAGCUAGGGGAGCAAACGGG
rnacentral:rRNA from 1 species